GUUCAGGAGAGCGAGUGCGUAAAGAACACGGAUAAUUUGCCUGUUGUGAGAACAGGGCUCAGAAACAAACCAUAAAAACAAAAGCUGACCCUUCAGGACAGCGAGUCACAAAAGAACAAGUCUCAGAAAUGUUUUUUGAGGAGUCAGAAAGUAAUAAUUCUGACAAUUUAUUGUCAUCUGACAAAGAGGAGGCGAUCUUUCAGGGGACUGAUGCGUCACUGGAAUUAGACCCCACGUGGGAUUUGCCCCAUGCCUUUGAAAUGCACAGGCAGUGUGCAAAGAGCUGUCCCACAGAGGAAUGUGCAGAUGCCACUGGCACCAGCUUCACAGCAGAGGGGAGAGAGAAGGAAGAAAAUGAUACAGCUGCAACUCAGCCAAGGUUUACACCUUGUCACACUCCAGGUCAACAACUGGAUGCCAUGAAAAGCUACAGCCAUUCAGUUUUAUUUUGGUUUUUUUUUUUCCAGAUACUGUCCAAAAACUUUGUGACAACACAAACAAACAGGGUCAGAAACAAAAACAGAAAGGAAAGAAGUUCACAUGGAACCUGGCUGGCAAGCAGCAAUUCUAUGCUUUUUUGGCAAUAAUAAUUUACAUGGGGCUUGUAAAGUUACCUGACCUGCCAGAAUACUGGGCAGAGGAUGGAAUCUUUGGGAUGCCAUUCUGCAAGAAAACCAUGAGCAGGAAUACUUUUAUGGGAAUUCUGUGGAACCUACACCUCGGUGACCCUGAUGAAGAUGAAGAUAAUGAGAGGAAGAGGGGGAACACCUGACUACAAUCCCUUUUGUAAACUUCAACCAUUUCUCAAUGAUCUUAUUGUUUUAUGUAAGGCAAUGUACCACCCAAACCAGUAUAUUUCAAUAGAUGAAAGAAUGGUUGCCAUGAAAGCCAGAAUUGGAAUGAAACAGUAUAUAAAGGAUAAACCUACAAUGUGGGGCUAUAAACUGUUUGUGCUUGCAGAUUCCAAAAGUGGCUAUACAUGGAAUUUUGAAUUGUACACUGGUAAAUGGAGAGAAGUGUCUGGAAAGGGGCUAGAUUAUGAUGUCAUUAUGUCCUUGAUUGACAGGUCUUUGGGAUCAAGCGACAGGCUUUACUGUGAAAACUUUUACACAAGCCCUAUGCUUUUUACUGACCUCUUUGCAAAGAACGUUGUUGCCUAAGGAGUAAUCCGAGAAAAUAGAAAAGGAUAUCCUUACACAAAAACGAGAGAUACCAAAGAUGUUUCAUUAUGCACAACCAUUCACCAAGAAUAUGAAGGACAAACUGCAGCUAGAAAAAUAAAAUCCCAGCACCAGAAGCAAUAAAAGACUGCAAUCAACAUACGGGGGGUGAUAAAUCUGAUCAACUCAUUGAAUAUUACAGUGUCUUUAAAAAAUGGUACAGAACAUUGCUUUUUCAUUGUAACUAUAAAUAGUUUUAUCUUGCACAAAGAGAUCUGUGAGGAAUUUGGGAAACAGCCAGAUACCCAAAAACUAUUUCGGAAAGCUUUGACUUUUGAACUGGCAGGUGAACUGUAUCCCUUUCAAACAACAUAAUUGGUUUCUACAUAUAAUAUGCAACACUUGCAAGAGCCAGUUGCAGAUGUAGAGGAGGCUUUUUCAGAUUAAAAUGCAACACAAGGGAGACAGCACUGUGCUUAUUCCAGUCAAACUAAAGGGAAGGGAAGUGAAGUCGAAACACCUUGGAUGUGUAAAACUUGCCUCUGUGCGUAGUUGUUGAUGGGAAUUGUUUUUCUAGAUGGCACAGAAAAUAGUUAUUUGUGUGUUAGCACUUAUGUAUAUAGUUAUUUAUUUUACUGUUAGUUAUUUUGUUACUUACUUUCUAAAAGACACUUUUGGUUAAAAAAAAUCAGAAAAUCACUAACAAUGUUUGCACACUCAUAUUUUGGUCAUUGUUUGUGCUAUUGGGAUGAAAUUUUGUAUGCAACUUUCCAACAUUAGACUUUCUUUUCAGAUUGUCAGGAGCCUUCGUUAUACAUGUUCUUAUGGUUUAAAACCCAAUAAAGUGUUAAUUUUUGUAAA